UACGUAGGGGGCAAGCGUUGUCCGGAAUUAUUGGGCGUAAAGAGCGCGUAGGCGGUCCGAUAAGUCUGCUGUGAAAGUCAGGGGCUCAACCCUUGAAAGCCGGCCGAUACUGUCGGACUAGAGUCCGGAAGAGGCAAGUGGAAUUCCCGGUGUAGCGGUGAAAUGCGCAAAUAUCGGGAGGAACACCAAUGGCGAAGGCAGCUUGCUGGGACGGUACUGACGCUGAGGCGCGAAAGCGUGGGGAGCAAACAGG
rnacentral:rRNA from 1 species